GACGAACGCUGGCGGCGUGCUUAACACAUGCAAGUCGAACGGAAAGGCCCUGCUUUUGUGGGGUGCUCGAGUGGCGAACGGGUGAGUAACACGUGAGUAACCUGCCCUUGACUUUGGGAUAACUUCAGGAAACUGGGGCUAAUACCGGAUAGGAGCUCCUGCUGCAUGGUGGGGGUUGGAAAGUUUCGGCGGUUGGGGAUGGACUCGCGGCUUAUCAGCUUGUUGGUGGGGUAGUGGCUUACCAAGGCUUUGACGGGUAGCCGGCCUGAGAGGGUGACCCGCCACAUUGGGACUGAGAUACGGCCCAGACUCCUACGGGAGGCAGCAGUGGGGAAUAUUGCACAAUGGGCGGAAGCCUGAUGCAGCAACGCCGCGUGCGGGAUGACGGCCUUCGGGUUGUAAACCGCUUUCGCCUGUGACGAAGCGUGAGUGACGGUAAUGGGUAAAGAAGCACCGGCUAACUACGUG
rnacentral:rRNA from 1 species